UUGAACGCUGGCGGCAUGCCUUACACAUGCAAGUCGAGCGCCCAGCAAUGGGAGCGGCAGACGGGAUAGUAACACGUGGGAACGUACCCUUCAGUUCGGAACAACCCAGGGAAACUUGGGCUAAUACCGAAUACGUCCGUAAGGAGAAAGAUUUAUCGCUGAAGGAUCGGCCCGCGUCUGAUUAGCUAGUUGGUGAGGUAAUGGCUCACCAAGGCGACGAUCAGUAGCUGGUCUGAGAGGAUGAUCAGCAUCACUGGGACUGAGACACGGCCCAGACUCCUACGGGAGGCAGCAGUGGGGAAUAUUGGACAAUGGGCGCAAGCCUGAUCCAGCCAUGCCGCGUGGAUGAUGAAGGCCCUAGGGUUGUAAAGUCCUUUCGACGGGGAAGAUAAUGACGGUACCCGUAGAAGAAGCCCCGGCUAACUUCGU
rnacentral:rRNA from 1 species